CCGGCCGCGGGCCGCACUUCCCUCGGCUGGGGGCUCGCCGGCGCCCGAGCCCGCGCCUGGCUGCCCGGCGGCCGGGCGCCCCACGCGCAGCCUCUCUUAAUGGUCUAUGUGGCAGUGUUUCGGCAAGAACAAGGCUUUAUGUAGGUUUAACGACCUACCGAGGCCUUCCUUCCACAGCCAUUGCACGGACAUCUCCCAGGGGCUAGGCACCGUGUGAAGUGCUAGAGUGACAGCGUUGACCGGGACAGAUUCAGUCCUUCUGGAGACGGGUAAAUAAGAAUUCACAACACACCGAUAAGUGCAGCUAAGCGAAGGGAAGUGUGGAGUAGUCCAGCAGCUGAGACGCCUAAGCCGGGGCCGGGGAGGGUCAGGAAUGACUGACUGGUGGAGAAAGUCACAUCUAGUUAUUUUUUAAACUUAAAAAAAAAAAAAAAUUGAAAUACAACCUACAUACAGAAAAGUGCACAAAUCGUAAGUGUACGGCUUACUCAGUUUUCACACAGUGAACAUUUCCUGUGUAAGCUGCAUCCAGAAUAGACAAAACAUUACUCCAGAAGCCCUCUUAUGCCCACCGCCAAUCACUGCUUUCCCCUAGGGGUGACUACUCUCCUGGGUUUUAACGUCAUAAAGUAGUUGUACUUGGUUUUGAACUUUUGAUACCUGGACUCAUGAACUUGUUCUGUAUGGCAUUUUAUAUUCAAUAUAUGAGUUUCACCCAUGUUGCAUUUAGAGUAAUUCAUUUAUUCUCACUGAUGUGUAAUUUUGCAUGGUAUGGAUAGACCACAAUUUAUUUCUACGUUCUACUGACACUUGUGUUGAUGGACAUGGUUUGUUUCCAGUUUGGGGUUAACCAGUGCUCAACAAGAUUCUCAUGUUGUCUUUUGGUGAACAUAUGUAAGCGCUGGGUGUGUUUAUGUUCGGCUUUAGAAUAUAGUGCCAGCGUUUUCCAAAGUGGUUUUACCAAUUUACACUCCCCUGGGCAGUGUGAGUUCUACUCCUCCACAUCCUUACCAAUGCUUGAUAUUGUCUCUCUUUUUCAUUGUAGCCAUUCCACUCACUGCUUGGGCAGUGGUGUUGCACUGAGGUUUUAAUUUGCCUUUCUCUGAUGACUAAUGCUGCAUUGUUCAUCUUUUCAAGUCUGUUGGGCAUUUGAAUAUCCUUGAAGUGUCCAAUUUUCUGCCUAUUUUUCUAUAGAUUGUCUUUUUCUUAGUAGUUUGAAAGAGUUCUAAAAUAUUCUGGGUAGGAGACAUAUUUAUUGAAUGUGUAUUUCUAAAUUAUCUGCUCUCUCUCAGGAGACUGCCUUUUCACUGUCCUAAUGAUGUCUUUUGAUGAACAGAAGUUCUUCAUUUUAAUGUUGUCUAAUUUAUCAUUUUUCCCUUAUGGUUGUAUUACUUUUGUCCAGCUUUUAAAAAUCUUUGCCUAGGGGAUGGCCCGUGGCCGAGUGGUUAAGUUCACACGCUCCGCUGCAGGCGGCCCAGUGUUUCGUUGGUUCGAAUCCUGGGCGCGGACAUGGCACUGCUCAUCAAACCACGCUGAGGCAGCGUCCCACAUGCCACAACUAGAAGCACCCACAACGAAAUAUACAACUAUGUACCGGGGGGUUUU
ensembl:lncRNA